rnacentral:lncRNA from 1 species
GAAAACUGACAUUGUCAGGUACUAGGCAGUGCAUAUGGUCUUUAACUACUGGUUGACAUGCUAGAGAGCUAGUGUACCUUUUUUAUUUUUUUGCUGUGCUGGGUCUUCGUUGCAGUGCGCCAACAUUGCAAUGGUUUCUCCUCUGGUAUCUAAAGGUGUCCUUUUUUCCUUCAAAGGCCGGUCUCUUUAGAAUAAGUGUGUGAGAUCCUGUUCCCUUCUGCUUUUACAGUCUUGCUUCAUUGAUUAUUCUUGCUGAACUGCAUAUUCAAUACUGACUCUAUUCUUCAUUC